rnacentral:sRNA from 1 species
UAAAUAAAUAAAAUAUCAAAUAAAAAAAAAGAAAAUGCCCACACAAGAUUGACCUGCAGGGAGCCUGUAAAGGAUGCCCUUGAUUGAUAAUUGAUGUGGGAUUGCUUAACUCAAGGCGAGCAGGAUUCCUGAGCAGGUGGUUUGGUGUUGUGUAAGAAUGCAGGGUGAGCAAGACAGUGAGUAGCACUCCUCCAUGGCCUCUGCAUCAGCUCCUCCCUCCAGGUCUGUGCCCUGACUUCCUUCAGCAAUGGUAUGUGGCUUGAGAGUUGAAAGCUGAAAUAAACUCUUUCCUUCCUCAAGUUUUUUACAGUCAUGAUGUUUUAAGACAGCAAUAAAAUCCCUACCUAAGACAAAACUUCAGGAAAGGACAUUUGUAAAAACUGCCAUGCCCAGAAGUCAUUAGGCAUGGCAUAUACUUUUAGGAAGUGUCUGUGUGACAGACUUAGUCUUACAGGAAGAUGGAAUAAUUAGUUAGGAUGGUUUUUUACCUCUUAGCUUUCUCAAUAACAUGCAUGUAGGGAUUUUUAACCUUUGGUAUGAAGUUAGGAUGUUCAUAUUUUGAAAACGGCCCACUUAAGAGUUCUGUGCAAGAAUUCACAGCAUUUUGCAUAUAGUUUUGGGGCUCCUGUUGACCCAAAAUUCAUUGCUUAAACUGAAAACCAAAUUAAAUUGAUAUCUUUGAAACCUUGAAGCUAAAAUCAGGUCAAAUGAAUCAUCCACUGUGUACUUUGAGGAAACCUAAUUUAUAACUCAUCAUUCUCUCUUUAGUGAUUAUGUCUCUCUUCUGUGCUAAGUCUGAGCUCUGUUUCUCUUUUUCUUUCUCUUGAACAUCAAUCUUACCACACAAGACUGGCCCAAUCCACAUUGCACUUAAGAAUUGAUUGAAUAAUAGAUUUAGACUGGAUUGUAAAACUUCAUGAAAAUGUAUGCCAUCUCAUUUUUUAUUAUUAUGUAUCUAGCUCUUAACUUUGCCUGGCACAACAUAGAAGGGACAUUGUAAAUAUUUAUAAACAUUGAAAGACUGAGUUCUCUUUAUUGGAAAUGACUGGCCUAUGAAAGUCUUUACAGAAUCAACAAAGUACAGCUAUGUUAUGCCAGGAUUUUCAUGGAUUCAUUGUGUCCACAGCUAUCUGUAACUAUUCAGACAUGACUACUUAAGCUUCUUUUUACUUUGAUUCCCAUUUCCCAAUAUAUCCUGGAAUAGCUAUGCCAUAUGUAAUAAUAGUCCACAUACACACCGCCACACAUACUCUUUGAGCUCUCAACUCUAUGCCACAUAUCUGUGAUGAUUUCAUACAUAUGUUUGAUCUUGUAACAUAAGUAAGCAAAACUCAAUAUGCUAAAGAUUGGUCCAAUCUCAGGCCAUAUAGACAUAGUGCUCAUCCACCUCUCACUGGCCCAACUGGAGUUAACUACCCAGAAAAAUGUGAGCAUUGUAGGGAAAUUGACAUGAUACAGCAAUGUAAAUAGUAACAAGUAGAAAAAAUACUCUGAGAAUGCAGGAGAGUUUGUCACUUUUCUGCCAGCUCUGGGUGCUCUGCAUGUGUCUUAAUUUUCCCCUAAUUAUUGUCAAUAUUUUCCAUAUCAUUAAAUUAUCCUGUAAGAUCCACUGGCCCAAAGAACAGGUAACUCUGAAAUGCUGGGCAUGGUCGUUCUUAGAAAGUAAGGCCUCAUAGGAAAGUACAGUGGCCUAGAUAGUAGCCUAUGAGAUUUUUGUUCAUAAAAGCCCCUUAACAUGUGUCUCAGGGCCACUCUGCUAGGACAUUCAAAGGAGUGAUCCUGACCAAAAUCCAUCUCGUGGCAAAUAUUUAAUAUUUAACAAUGCUUACUUAAAAUUUGACCCAAGUGGUAGAAUUAUUUUUUUCUCCAGUAAAUCUAUGGAUUUGCAAUGUAACACAAAUCUUCUUUCUCUAGUAAGAAUUUUUCCCCACUGUCUUAUAGGCUGAACAUCUAUAAAAAAACAAAGCCAACAAAUACAGAAUGCCUUUUUCCAGUCAUAUCUGCCUUUGGUUCCUUUUGUGGAAUAGGUGUCUCUAACAGAUGUUACUCUUUUCUUCAUUGUGACAUCAUCCUACCCACAGCCUUCACUUCCUUGGAUACAUAUUUCCUCUCCAGGAUCCCAGAGUCAUUUCUUGUAGUUAUUACUUGCAUGUUGUGGUUGGUUGCCAUAACAACCAUUAUGCGGUUGACAGUUGCUCUUCUCUUUAACUUCUUUCUUUUGAAUUCAGAAUGAGGAACUAAUGGGCCAGGUAGAAGGACUGCUUGCUAGCCACGCAGUGGUGUGUGCUCCACUGAAAAAACAUUCACUCAGUGCUAAGUAGUUUCUUGUUUUUGAAAACCCAUUUUCUGUUCUUUGAGUAUCCAAAUGUUUGUUCCUGUCAGUUUUCUUCAGAAUUCUAAACAAGCAUCUCUGAAACCUUCGUAGAGCUUAAUUCAGGAAUAGUCUAUUUUCUAUAAAAGAAAACUAUCUUUGGGACGCAUACUGAAGAGUCUAUAGUUGGCUUAUUUGUAUAAAAAAAGAUUCAACUCAACACAACAGGCUAAAAUUACUAUGUAUUUGUAAUCCAGCCAUGUGCCAGUAUAUCACACUGCACAUGCAGAAAUUUAGAAUGAAACACACUUCCUCUCUUUCCCUUCAUAAAUACUAUAGGCCUAACAGCCUUGAAGCAGACUUCAUUAUAUUCUCAAAGAUACUUUCGUCAAAUUAAGUAAAAAUAUCCGCUCCUUUGUGCUGAAGAAUAUGCUUUUCAGUUUGGCUCUAACUAUACAGACUAGGAACAUCACACUGUUCACACUGGGUUUGCUUUGAAUGUGGCAUAGAUGCAGGGCAUGACACAUACACAAGGCAAUGGCAUAGAUGCAAGGGUGUAGUAUAGUUGAAAGGCAUGGCUUACACACAGGAUAUGUCAUAGACAGAAGGUAUGCCACAGAUACAGAGUAUGGCAUAGAUGCAAAGAUAUGGCACACAUACAGACUAUGGCACAGAGAUGGGUAGGGCGUAGGUGCCGAGGUAUAGCAUAGGUGCAGGAGUAUGAUAUAGAUGCAGAAUAUAACACAGAAAUGGGUAGAGCAUGGUGCAGAGGUAUAGCACAGAAGCAUAUAUGGGUAUAGCAUAUAUGCAGGGUAGAGCAUGGAUACGAAAUGUGGCAUAGAUGCAGGGUAUGGCAUGGAUACAGGGUAUGGCAUAUAGGCAGAGGUAUGGCAUGGAAACAGGGCAGAAUAUGGCACAGAGAUAGGUAGAGCAUAGUUGCAGAUGUAUGGCAUAGAUGUAGGGUAUGUCUCAGAUGUAGGAGUAUAACCUGAUUGCACAGGUAAGUCAUAGGUACAGAAAUAUGAGACAGAGGCAGGGCCACAACGUGAGAUGAGGACGUGGAGUCAUGUGAGAUUAAAAGCAAAAGCUUCGAGACAAAUAUACCUUGAUUCACAAUUGAAACAAAUAGAUCUAAGUUCAAAUUCCCAAGUUGUAAGACAUCAUCAGUCCCUUAACUUUUACAGGUCCUUGCUUCCUCCUUCAUAAAAUAGGGUAAGAACAUUAUUGACUUUGUAAGUUUGGGACUAGAAUUCGAUGCGACAAUCCAGUGCAUGUCAAACACAAGUCCUGCCGACAUUUUUAUAGCCCCAGCUCUUGAGUGAAUUUGUCAUCUUUAAUUCUGAGUGCAGCAAGAAACCUUAAUUGUAGAGUUUAUGAAAGAGUUUUUGCCUUGCCCUGUGUAGUCGUGUAUGCCUCUUUAUCUACCUUAUUUCUAUUUCUAUCAGCAAAACUGGGGCACAUUCAGCCUGAUCUGCUCGCUUCACGGGGAUUUAUGAACAGCUAAAACAACCAAUGAAGGAAUGCUAUCUCGCUGCUGUUCUAAUGAAAUGUGCCGCCCAGUCAAAUAGAGUCCUAGAGACGUAUUAAACUCAGCCAAAACCACGUCUGACAUGAAUUGAUUAUAAGGUGUCGGCCUUUAUGACUUCCUGCUUUGUGGUAACCUUGUGGUGCUGAUAUGCCAAAUCUCCAGACAGGCUGCUUACCCAGCAUGAGAAACUGAUUGAGAAAACGUCUUACUUGAGGCAGUAUCAUUUCCCUUUGAUCUCCAUGAAGCAAAACUGUAUUUCCUGUGACAAAGUCUUACAAAAUAUGUUUCUUAGGGUAAAUGUCAUCUUUCAAAAUGUACCUUCCAGGAAUUGAAGUUAAAAUAAAAUAAACAUCCAGGGCAUUAAUGCUAAUAUGUGAAAUAUAAGAAAAUGAAAAAACAAGUCAUCAAUAGAAGCCCUGAAAUGUAAAGACUUCAUGUCCUUAAAAAUAAUGUAAUAUAUUUGUUAUUUACAAAUUAUUAAUUUUUAAAAGGAAAACCAAACAAAUUUGAAAAGUAAGUGUUUAAAGUAUAUUUUGUUACAUAUGAUAUAUUGGCUUUUUGUUAAAAUAAAUCUGCAUACCCAGAAGCUAUAAAACAGGACUGUGGUGUUUGUUUUGCAUGAGAUAGUCAAGUUUUAUAUUUUAAACAUCAGCUGCUUCAUAUGGAAAUAUGAGUUAGAAGCAGAAAUGUUUUCUUGAGUGUUUAUAAGGCUCAUACAUUUUGGGAUGACAGAUUAAAAGUGGCUUGUAAUAAAUUCCUUUUUGAGAAAAAAAUGCAAUAAAGAAAGAGAAGAACACAAAAUGUUGUUUGAAAGUGAGAAAUAGAGAAAUUCUGUAGAAUGACCAAGAAUACCAAAAUUAGAUGUCAAAACUGAUGGGAGGUGUCCCAAAGUAGCCAGAUUCCCAAAUUAACCAAGUCAGAGAGGAGCUACAGAAAAGACUUCUUAAGUCAUGGCUUGCAGUCGUUCCUGUGUUCUUGGUCACUGUUGCAAAACCUUAACCGUGUUUCCUUAUGAAAAGAGAUUGCGAGAAUUUGAAAGCUGAACCUAAGGCCAGGGAAGCUUGAUUUUGAGGUCAUAUCUUGAAUUAGAAUUUUAACUUCUGUACAUAAAAGUUACUUUGAAAACAAGGAAACAAAGCAAUACUGUCCAGAUUAACUCACUACUUUUGUA